CACUUGUCUGAGCCCUGGUGUGUGUCUGAGAUGAAGCCUCGUUUUUUUUUUUUUUUUUAAAAGAAGCGGGAUCGUGCGGUGAACACACUCACGCUGGAAGAGGGGGACCAGCAACGUUGCUUGGCAAAUUACAGACUCCUCUCCUCAUGACUUCACGGACAUGGUUCAUUUCUCUCUGUCCCUGGACCAGUCUGAGGGUUGCACAGUUUGUUUUGAAGAUGCCAGCCUAUUCAAGAUGCUGGGUCGGUUGCCGUUGAGGGACAAGGGACUGACGUGACACCAGAGUCUUCCCUAUCCUAGCCACUUGGAUUUCCUUAAUUUGAUGGAGUUCUUCAUCAAACACUACAAAAUGUGUGUACAACAGAGACAUCAUCGGGCUUCGGAGGGGCCUCUCCAGGCUGGCUGAUUAGCCAAUAACUCCCGAGUUUUCCCUGACUCUAGAACUGGACUGGACUGGGUGUGGGAUAUAGACAAUCAAGGAGGCACAUUAGGAAUCGAGGUGCCCAAUCUAUGUAUGUGUGUGAGAGAGAAACAUGUGGAGUCAGGUUGGUACCUGCUGACUGACAGGGACUUCUCCAUGAUCCUGGCAAAGAGGAAGCCAGGACAGCAAGUGGUCUUAGUCCAAAUGGAACGCCACACAGGCAGACAGGGGUUCGAAAUACACCUAAAAAACCACAACCUCCCACCAAAACAAACCACGAGUCCAUUUAAGUUAAGGGUGCCCACCACUAUCCCAUGAGUAGUCCUUUGAGAGCUCUUGGGUUUCAGCCUCAGUCCAGCAGUUAAGCUACAGAGGUCCCAGCUCCUAAUCAGUAACCAUAGCUUACAGCUACAUAUCCCCAGGGACGGAGGACAUCCAUCCCAGGGGAGAAUGAGUCUGCCUGUGGCCUACAUAUGUUCCUUGAUUUUUCUCAUCCAUGUCAUGUUAAUUUCUGUCUCUGGCCUUAACAGGGUUGGUUGUUCCUAUGAAAAAAUAAAGUACCUUGUGGCCUUG
rnacentral:sRNA from 1 species